rnacentral:rRNA from 1 species
AGUUUUAUGGUAUUAUAUAAAAUAUUUUCUGCCCAGUGUCGUUUAGAUAAAUGGCCGCAGUACCUUGACUGUGCUAAGGUAGCAUAAUCAAUUGGCUUUUAAUUGAAGUCUGGAAUGAAUGGGAUAAUGAAAUUUAGCUGUCUUAUUUUUUUUAAUUAAAAUUUAUUUAUUAGGUGAAAAUACCUUUAUACAUAUUAAAGACGAGAAGACCCUAUGAAUUUUUAAUUUUUUUGUUGGGGCGACAGUUUAAAAAAUAAUCUUAAAUUUUAAAAUAUAUAACGAUUUUUUUAAUAAAAAUUAAAUUACCUUAGGGAUAACAGCAUUAUUAUUUAAAUAGUUUGUGACCUCGAUGUUGGACUAGGAACUAAAAGGCUAACCGUCUUUAUAGAUUUGUUCUGUUCGAACAAUUUUAUCCU